UAGAUGAACUGAUGAUGUCUACUGAGCAGUAGACGAAACGUCUUCAAUAAAUAGAUGAAGUAGCUGAAUUCUUUGUCUCUUUUUUCACCCACUUGACCGAUAAAACCCUACACUUACGAGUGCUCCUUUGUUAUAUUGGAAUUGACGGUCGUACUCCUUUAUGAUGUCUUCUGUUACAGAGGGUUUUUACGCUAAUACCAGGCGCAUCCAUGGGGAACUACCAGUGAAAAAGCUUAAGAGAUGGACCAAUCUGACCGAAAAACUAGCUACAGCUGAAGCAAGAAGAACUUUCCUUCUAGAGUGCAGGAGAACCAAGAAAAUUCCUAGAUUUAUCACAGACACCACUUCUAACAUACUUACUACUACCACAGGAACCCACGAUCACACACUCCAACGCAGGAGCCAGGCUCUUAAUAGACAGAGGGUUUUUACGCUAAUACCAGGCGCAUCCAUGGGGAACUACCAGUGAAAAAGCUUAAGAGAUGGACCAAUCUGACCGAAAAACUAGCUACAGCUGAAGCAAGAAGAACUUUCCUUCUAGAGUGCAGGAGAACCAAGAAAAUUCCUAGAUUUAUCACAGACACCACUUCUAACAUACUUACUACUACCACAGGAACCCACGAUCACACACUCCAACGCAGGAGCCAGGCUCUUAAUAGACAGAGGGUUUUUACGCUAAUACCAGGCGCAUCCAUGGGGAACUACCAGUGAAAAAGCUUAAGAGAUGGACCAAUCUGACCGAAAAACUAGCUACAGCUGAAGCAAGAAGAACUUUCCUUCUAGAGUGCAGGAGAACCAAGAAAAUUCCUAGAUUUAUCACAGACACCACUUCUAACAUACUUACUACUACCACAGGAACCCACGAUCACACACUCCAACGCAGGAGCCAGGCUCUUAAUAGACAGGUGAGGGCACGAUUACUUAAUUUCCAUAUAUCGAAGGUUCAUUCAGAUAUUAAAUUCAUUUUUGGUCAAAUAAAUAAUGUCACUGAUUUCUUAGAUCACACUUU